rnacentral:pre_miRNA from 1 species
AGUGGAAUUGCUAGGUUACAUGGUAAGUCAAUGUCUACCUUUUAAGAAACUAUCAAACUAUUUUCCAACCUGGUUGUACCAUUUUACAUUUUCACCAGCAAU